CGCUGCCCUCAGAGUUCACAGGUGAGGGAGAUUCAGCUCAGAGAGGAUACUUGGUUAACUACAGGGAUGCAACUAAGCAGGAUCUGAACCCAGACCCCUGCUUUCCUUGGCCUGAUCUCCAGCCCUCAGUGGAUAUGGCCAAGCCACAGAGGUGCCACCGUUCUAGAAACGGUGGCUCUUGGGGGAGCUGGGUCAGGAUUUCAACCUGGGCACUCUGAUUCCAGAGGCCGCUCAUCUUCUGAACCGCCCCCGCACCUCCCUGCGGCUCCCACUAGAACAAGGACAGCAAAGAAGACUGAAGGAGAGGAGACACCAGGGCCAAGGACGCAGAUUUUCCAUCCAGUUCAAAAGAAAAUAUGAGAUGGGACUGACACCCUCAUCUCUGUGGCCAGAAAAGGAAACUGGAGCCAGACAGGCCUCAAGCAGCAUCCAGUGUGUGGAAUGAGUGCCCGAGGGUGUGGCCUCUGCCCAUCUCUUUUCAGGCUUUCUGAUAACCCCACAUUGAAUCUAGGUGAAGAGUAAGCCAGAUGAAAGACUCUCAUCCGAUACCUCAGAGAACCAACCCAAGAAACAUUCGGACCAGAAAGCUCCAGCAACUCAGGCUGGGGGUGAUGGCUGUGAUGACAGAUUAAGGGCUCCUGGGACAAGUGCUCCUCAUUCUUAAGACAGAUACUCAGAAGGUACCAUUCCCAGAGAACACCGGCUCCUUAGGGACACUGUCAGUUAGGGGCUGGGUGAAGCAGCCUGGGGUCUGGCGAUUGUGAUACCCAAGAUGGUUCACAGAGCAUCGCCCAGGAUCAAAGCUCUAGAUUCUGAAACCAGGAGCCUGACCCUGAGCCAGCUACUUGAUUGAUCCUAUCUCAAUGCUCUCCCAGCUGACUCCCACACAGGCUGUACUGAACCCACAGCAGGGAAGGAGAACCCCCUUGAAGAGAUCAACUACAGCCCUGCAAA
ensembl:processed_transcript 4631405J19Rik RIKEN cDNA 4631405J19 gene